UACGUAGGGGGCAAGCGUUAUCCGGAUUUACUGGGUGUAAAGGGAGCGUAGACGGAUGGACAAGUCUGAUGUGAAAGGCUGGGGCUCAACCCCGGGACUGCAUUGGAAACUGCCCGUCUUGAGUGCCGGAGAGGUAAGCGGAAUUCCUGGUGUAGCGGUGAAAUGCGUAGAUAUUAGGAGGAACACCAGUGGCGAAGGCGGCUUACUGGACGGUAACUGACGUUGAGGCUCGAAAGCGUGGGGAGCAAACAGG
rnacentral:rRNA from 1 species